rnacentral:tRNA from 1 species
ACCCGAAUGGCGGAAUGGUAGACGCACUAGUUUCAGGUACUAGCGGUUGGAAGACUGUGCAGGUUCGAGUCCUGUUUCGGGUA